rnacentral:rRNA from 1 species
UGGGGAAUAUUGGACAAUGGGCGCAAGCCUGAUCCAGCCAUACCGCGUGGGUGAAGAAGGCCUUCGGGUUGUAAAGCCCUUUUGUUGGGAAAGAAAUCCUGCCGGUUAAUAACCAGUAGGGAUGACGGUACCCAAAGAAUAAGCACCGGCUAACUUCGUGCCAGCAGCCGCGGUAAUACGAAGGGUGCAAGCGUUACUCGGAAUUACUGGGCGUAAAGCGUGCGUAGGUGGUCGUUUAAGUCUGUCGUGAAAGCCCUGGGCUCAACCUGGGAAUUGCGAUGGAUACUGGGCGACUAGAGUGUGGUAGAGGAUAGUGGAAUUUCCGGUGUAGCAGUGAAAUGCGUAGAGAUCGGAAGGAACAUCUGUGGCGAAGGCGACUAUCUGGGCCAACACUGACACUGAGGCACGAAAGCGUGGGGAGCAAACA